rnacentral:rRNA from 1 species
UUUAAUUCGAAGCAACGCGAAGAACCUUACCAGGUCUUGACAUACCAUUGACCGUUCUAGAGAUAGGAUUUUCCCUUCGGGGACAAUGGAUACAGGUGGUGCAUGGUUGUCGUCAGCUCGUGUCGUGAGAUGUUGGGUUAAGUCCCGCAACGAGCGCAACCCCUGUCGUUAGUUGCCAGCAUUCAGUUGGGGACUCUAACGAGACUGCCAGUGACAAACUGGAGGAAGGUGGGGAUGACGUCAAAUCAUCAUGCCCCUUAUGACCUGGGCUACACACGUGCUACAAUGGUUGGUACAAAGAGAAGCGAAGCGGUGACGUGGAGCAAACCUCAUAAAGCCAAUCUCAGUUCGGAUUGUAGGCUGCAACUCGCCUACAUGAAGUUGGAAUCGCUAGUAAUCGCGAAUCAGAAUGUCG